AUGGCGACCACCGAGAAGAGGGAGAUGGUGUUCUUCAACGUGGAGGCUGCGCAGUCCCCGUCGCUGCCCGACGAGUGCAGCCUGCUGGAGUUGGCCGCCAUCCUCGUCUGCCCGCGCCGCCUCGUCGAGGUCUCCAGCUACUCCACCCUCAACCGCCCGGACGACACCGGCGCCGAUGGUGGCGUCCUCUCCGCCUCCUCCGGCGCACCCUCGUUCAAGGACGUCUUCCUAGACAUCUUCGAGAUGCUGGACGGCCGCGUUCAUGGACCGAUGACAUGGCAUGUCCUGAUUGGUGCUCCUGGUUCAUCUCUCUCUCUCCCUUAUCUCCUCAAGUGCACAGCCGCAGCCAGCACUUCACGCCUCAUCUCUUCGCUGCCUCGCCGGAGUCGCCGCUCCUCGCCGGAGACGCCGCUCCUCGCGCCGCCACAGGUCAGCAGCAGCAGGCUACACUCACUGCUCCUCGCCGGACAGCAGCGGCGCAGCCGCAAGCAUCGGCCGAAGCACCAAGCGGCAGCAAGCACGCGCAAGCAACAACAGCCCCGGCCGCCGCUGCUGCUCCUCUUCCUCGGCCACGACAGCAACAGGUGGUCAAGCACGUGUGCAAGCAGCAUCAGUCCGGUGGCUUUGACGCAAGGCGUGGGGAGGCGGCUGCUCCGUGCAACACUGCAUCUCGCCGUCCUCCUCUCAAUCUGUGCCUUCCCUGAACGUCGGAGGCCUGUGCGCAGCUCACCAACGCGGCCAGUGCGGCACUACGGCGACCACCACGGGUGCAUGGGCGGGGCACACGCGAUGGGAGCAGCGCCGGCGACUGGAUUUGGCCACGAUUAA
rnacentral:rRNA from 1 species